CUCAGACUCGCCAUGCAUGGAGGUCUUUCCGUUCUGCUUGUGGGUUACAGAAGUUUGGGUUGCAUUUUGUGUCCUAUAAUCAUGGUGAUCCUGGCCAAUGUGAAAUUUAGAAUCUAAGGCUCAGAGAAGUCAAUUAGGUUGCCAAAGACAGAAAAUGAAACAUGUGUCUGAAUGCAGAGCCAGGAUGUUGCAACAAAGCUUUCCGGGCCCAGAAAGGACAGGAGCCCCAGGUGGAGUGAGACCCACGGGAGAAAUCCAGAAGGCUCGAGAGUGGGGGACAGAGGCAAGGCAACGGCUAAUAGUCAACCGAAUGAGACACCACCCUGCUCGCAUCAUUCAAAGUUCUCUGUUGGGCUCGGCUCUGCAGCGAUGGCGUCUCAAAGGGGAGAAUGGUCUUGUUUGAAAAUCUCUCUUGACCAAGUGAUGCUCUUACAUCACCUUAAAAUUGUCAUUUAAAAAUUGUCUCGCUGGCUCUCCUGUGACCCACAAGGCCACUUGGGAUCUGCCUGGCCCCUUCCCUCUCUGCUGCAGUCUCAAUGCCAACCUGCCUCCUCACAGAGUCAGAAGAACUCACAGCCUUGCCUUCUCAACCUCCAGGCCUCUGCUCAAAUGUCACCUCCUCCGAGAGGCCCUCCCGGACACCCUCACCCAUCCUCCAUCCAGACUCCCUCUACCUCUCAGCCUCCCAAAUGUUUUGGACCACAAUCCACAGGGAAAAAAUAAAUUAAAACUAUGAUCCUUG